AGGACGAACGCUGGCGGCGUGCUUAACACAUGCAAGUCGAGCGGAAAGGCCCUUCGGGGUACUCGAGCGGCGAACGGGUGAGUAACACGUGAGUAAUCUGCCCCUAGCUCUGGGAUAGCUCCGGGAAAACCGGGAUUAAUACCGGAUACGACCACUUUAGACAUCUGUUGUGGUGGAAAGAAUUUUGGCUAGGGAUGAGCUCGCGGCCUAUCAGCUUGUUGGUGGGGUAAUGGCCUACCAAGGCGACGACGGGUAGCCGGCCUGAGAGGGCGACCGGCCACACUGGGACUGAGACACGGCCCAGACUCCUACGGGAGGCAGCAGUGGGGAAUAUUGCGCAAUGGGUGAAAGCCUGACGCAGCAACGCCGCGUGGAGGACGAAGGCUUUCUGAGUUGUAAACUCCUUUCAGCAGGGACGAUUGUGACGGUACCUGCAGAAGAAGCACCGGCCAACUCGUGCCAGCAGCCGC
rnacentral:rRNA from 1 species